GAUUCCUUAGCUCAGCUGGAUAGAGCAAGUGCCUUCUAAGCACUAGGUCAUAGGUUCGAAUCCUAUAGGGAUCGCCA
rnacentral:tRNA from 1 species